GAAACCCCGGGCCAAGAUCCAGGGAUUCCAAGGAUGGGUGCGUGUCGUACACUCGUGCUCUGCGCUGCUGCUGGGUCCGGAGCGACACCAAGCGACGCGACGAAGAAGACGACGCCACUGGCCCCGCCAUCCGAGUCCUGCAUCCGCUGCUGACCAACGGAGGCCCACCCGAUGGGCGCCCGCCGCCCGCUCCCCCUCGGUACCUUCUCUGCGCGUUCCUCUCCCUAUUUGAAAUACCGUCGCCAUGCCCCUCAUUAACAUCCCUUGUGCGUGUGUUUGCGAUUUCCUAUUGUCAGUAGAUGGAUUUCAUUCACAAUGCUGUUUAAGACCACUAGCUGUCCCAUGACCAGACUUAUGUUGGUGUCGUUGCCGCUGCUCGUAUCCUGCAUGCUCAUACGCGGAGAUUUUCUAUGCUACUAUGUUGUGAUCUGCUAUUGCCGGCUGAUAUGUUGAGAUGUCAACAAUCCUGUGGAAUUCUACUCUCUGUCACUGCUGCACAUAAUAACUUCACAUUUUUGGGGGUACUGAUUCAUUUUUUAUGGUGCUUAAUUGUGUGCAUGUAAUUUUCCUGCGACUCAAUUUUAUUUUGAGUCAUACAGUUUUGAACUCUACUGGUACUAUAGAUUUCUAAUCAGGUGUUUUUUUUUUAAAUUUAGUUUGUGCUACUCAAAUAACAUUAGGAGAAAAGAGGGGAAAAAAUCAAAUUUAGGAUGGAAAGAAUAGAACCAAUCUGAAUGUAGUCAUUGUAAAUCUUUUCAAGGUUUCCUAGGGAAUUUGAACAUGCUCAUUGAACUCGUCUCGUACCUGAGAAACCCAGUGCAAGUUCGUCCCAGUAAUCGUGAGUCUGUCCAAUGUUUACUCUGAUGACACUCACAUCUAUCAUCUCAAAAUUGUUUUCAAAUGCUAGUCCGGAGGUAUUUAUUUGUCAACUGAUAGAAUUGCAUAAGUUCAUACUGAGAAAAAAAACAUGUAGACGACCUGCCCAUCCGGAUUUACAACAAAAGCACUUUCAGACUUUAGGCACCUUAUAUAUGUUACGGAGAGUGUCUAUAGUGGCAGUUUGUCAUGCAUUAAAGGCAUAACGUCACUGCACUCCAGUUUGUGGCAGUUUGUCAUGGUUACGUUUUCUGAACUCUAGCAUACAUAUAACAUGAAUCUGCUUCUUCCUGGUUUUGUAAUACCAUCAUCAUGCUCAUGUCAAAAGGAAAGGUGAAAGAAAUGUUCAAACAUAACCAAGUAUGCAGGCCUGUAAUGCUGUCUAGCCCUAUAGUCUUAUCAUUGUGAUGUACCGAUUGGCUUAACUGUCUGUCAUAAAAGAUAAUUAUUUCUCUGGUAUCCAUGUGUGACGAUCGUAAAUGAAAUUGAUCUCCCCAAUUAUAGUAUUAAUAUUUUUGUAUGGCCUAUUUGUUUGUGACAUUCGUCAUGCCACUAAAUUGUUGAUAGCUGGAUUUCAACCUCCCGGUAGUAGAUGAACUAUGCGAUUCACUUGAAAUACAUGCAUCUUUUGUAACUGUCAUCCACUGAGUAUCCUGUGAUAGGGGUUGUCCCCUUCUUUCAUCUUCCGUCCUCUAAUGAUGAUGUUAGGUGAUCAUAGUUUGCAGCACUCAGUUAUAUCAGUAGUGUACUCAAUACAUAAUAUGAGAGUUAUUUUUUUAUCCGGGUUAGUACUGCUGUCUUAUGUUUGUGUGUUUUCCACUUAUUUACGCUCUCCAAAAGAUAUACUAUUUUUUUCUAUUUGCAUGCAGACAAAUCCAAUAUAUGUCCAAGUAGCCACAUCAUAUGGCGACCUCUACCACCACUUGCUCUGUAUAUAUCGAUUUAUAAAUAUGGAGGUACAUCCCACAAUUGAUAUUGAAGUUCACGUUGCUGAAUAAGUCCUAAUGCUCGUGCUAAAUAACCAAGCUCCUGGAUUGUGCAAAUUUUCUUUGCCAGCAACUGCAAAUAAGUGGUGUCUAGCUGGGACUUGUGCAGUGAAUUCAGGUUUCAGGUGCCCACAGGUCCUGUACGAAUAGGGCUCAUCAGAAUCAUCACCCACCUACUUUGUAACACGCUGCAUCACAUCUUACCUGGAGAAAGCUUCGAGCGACCUUUGCGGGACCGCAACAAAUGUUUGUAUCCCGGGACAGAGAGAAUCUUCCUUUUGCUUAUCUCAAGCAGCCAGCGAUGUAAAUUUUCUUUGGGACCUCCAAGUUCCAAUCAGAAACCUCAUUGCUCCAGUCCAAGAGAAAGCAUGUUGGAACCUCUGGAGAUGUUAGCAAUCAGCUGGGAGAAUCAGGCUUCCUGUACAGAUGAUUGCUUCCCAUGAGGUGCAAAUAUUAUGAUUCUUGACUGGCCGUGUUCUCGAGCCAAGACGAGCUCAACUGUACAAGGCACAUGCUCAGUAAUCUUGGUCUGGAACGCUGUUGGUUGUUGAUUUCUUUAUGGUUCCGAUGCGAAAAACUCCAGAUGAUGGCCUGUUUAGAGACAAAACAUUUGAGGUACAAUAAUAACAAUUAGUUGUCUAACCCAAGAAUUUUUAUUCGUUAUCCUUGCUUGUCUGCUAAAACUAAAGGCUUGUUCCUUAACUUGAUUGGAUGAUACAAAGGCAUCCUCCUAGUGCCCAUGUGCCUAUGGAUACUGUUCUGAUUAAACAAGCAUGGAUG